AUCACCUGGGUUCGUGUUAAAAUGCAGAUUCUGAUUCAGGUCUGGAGUGGCCAAGAUUUUGCAUUUCUAAUUAGCUCCCAGGUGAUGCUGA
rnacentral:pre_miRNA from 1 species